GUGAGAGCAUAAAAGAAGAAUCAAUAGGUGGCAUUUAUUUGUACACAAUGAGGGAAUAUUUGAAAGGCAAAAGGUGUAGGGCAUGGAAGGAAUCUCUUUUUCCCUUCUGAAAGAGAACGGAGGAUGUUUGAUAUGAUGUUGCUGUUUUGAUUAAACUUCAAGGAGUAGGUGGUGGGUUCAAGAAAAGGGUCGGUUUUCUUUCAAGAACCUUUUGGAUUGAAAAUGGUGAGCCAAAGAGAAUUUGCUUUAGGAUGGAUGUCCAUCUCUGCAAUUGGGGAGGUGUGUGUGUGCAGUUAGGAU
rnacentral:misc_RNA from 1 species